UUGUUCACCAAAAUUUUCUAAAAAUCUUUGUAAUCUAGAUGGUACUCUACUUACGUUGAAUUCUGCUACUUUUGUUUCUUCUAUUAUUUUUUGGUUACCUAUCGGGGUGUCCAAUAACAUGGCAUCGUCGUCUAAUGUUAUAUCUCUGGAUGUUGGGGUCCAAUUUACAUCAGGGGGUUUCCCCCCGCUAUUGACACUCAUAACUUCCGUAAAAUUCAAUUUAAUUAGCGAAGUUUCUCUAAAAAACCACUAUUAAUGCAUAACUCACUAUCGAACGUUUCCGUUAGCUUCGGAGCAAGGCCGUACUGUGUGACAAAAAAGGUUGAAAUUAUGUGUUAACAUCGAAAAUUUUGUGAAGAAUUUGAUGAUUCGCCGAACAUAUCUGAGACGAUAACUGACGAACUGAUGCAGAGGUGGUAUGGUCCAGAUGUCAUCGUGGCUGAGCUGAAGAGGAGAAGUGGAGAAACGAUCCAGAUGAAGAUGAUAGAUGUGCCAAUCACGGAAAAGCUGGAGAAGUUCGUCGAGGAUGUCAAGUAAGUGGAACGCUGCUAGUUUACAUUCCAAAUAAUUUUCUUUAAGAUGAGUAUGUCACUAUAAUCAUACUUAUUUUUAUCAAAAUCGGAAUUUUCACAAUGUUAUAAUUGUUGGCAAUAAUUCAAAAGAAAGCAAAAUAUUUCUUUUGAAAAAUCAUAAUGUGGCAGUUCUUAAACUUGUUGCUUUUGUAGUUGCGUAAAAAAAUUUUUAUGGUAUCCUUCAUCAAUGUUCUAAACUGAUUAUCUCUGACCCACAUUGUAUAUCGAUUUUUAUGUUGCUAGAAUUAUUUUUUGAAGAAUUAUUGUGUUAAGAUAUUGGAUCAGUUACAUUACCUUUCCUACAUCUUUUUCCUACAGCAGGAAGUCGGGUAUUAGAUACAUAGAUUUAUUCUCAAUUGAUACACAAAAGUGCUUACAGUCGUCAGUUACAUAAAUGAAUGUCAUCAGAUUAUAAACCAAUGGCUAGUUACAUGAGUCAGAAUAAAUAUCUUAAAAUGUUAGUUUAACUAAUACAACAUAUAUGCACAUAGACAAAAACUUACUAAAUAUAGUUAAAAUAAAUAAAAGUUUACCAAUUAUGAGAACACAUGCUUUAUCCGGUCAUAAUAAUCAUUUGUACUGUAUAAACACAUAUCCUUCAAGAUUUCUUUAAUUUUAUUUCUGAAACUAGUCAAUGACACGUUUUGUAUAUGGUCUGGAUGCUGGUUGAAAUAGCUUAUUCCUACUAUUUUGGUUUUGUUAAUUCUAUGGCGAGGUUGUAAAAUAUGAUUUUCCCCCUGGUGUUAAAUGUGUGAUUAAUUCUGUAAUUUGAAAAAUUAUCUAUGUGUUUUCUAAUACAUAUAAGAUUUUCGAACACAAUGCUGGAGUAGAGUCAUAAUACCUAGUUUUUCAAAAAUUGGUUUGCAAGAGUCAUCAAAUUUGGCUUUUACAAUUGAACACACAGCAGCCUUUGCACCAUAAAUAGUCUUUGCAAGUGGGUAUCAGCUGCCCCAACUAAAUAUUCCAUAUGUCAUGAGAGAAUGAAAAAGUGCAUAGUAAACUGUAAUAGCAAUAUCUUUAUUAGUGAGAUGUGAUAUGCUGCGUAUGGCAAAUACUGUUUUUGACAAUUUGCUACACAAAUAGUCAAUUUGAGGUAUCCAAGACAUGUGAUUUUCUAAAUAUACACCAAGAAAUUUGACACAUUUAGUUUCAACAGAUGUAUAAUCAGUUGUAAAAAUACAAGUUUGAGUUUUAUUGUGAUUUAGAUACAAUUCGUUGAAAUCAAACCAUUCUUUUGCCGUUGACAUAAUAUUUGUAGGAAUAAUAAAAGGUUUUCAUUUUUGUUAUUAGAAUAUAUGAAGUUUGUAUCAUAUGCAUACACUAUUGUAGUUAAGUUGUCAUAUAUAUUGGUCAUAAAAUCAGGUAAAUCAUUUAUGUAGAUUAAAAAUAGAAGAGGUCCCAAUAUGGACCCCUGAGGAACUCCUCUUUUUGAAGUCAGUUUCUCACUGAAUUUAUUAUCCCUGUACACAGCUUGAUAUCUUCUUUCUAAGUAAGAACAUAUUAAUUUGUUCGCUAGUCCUCUUAUUCCAUACCUGUGAAGGUUUUCUAUGAGCUUGGUAUGAAUUACACAGUCAAACGCCUUAGAAAGAUCGGUAAAGAUUGUGAUGCAUUUAUUUAUUUAUUUUCAUGAAUAUUGUUAAUGAGAGCCAUAAUUGCAUCGGAGGUGCUUUGGCCUUUCCUGAAACCGUAUUGACAAGUUGAGAAAAGAUUGAAUUUUUCUAGAUAUUUAAUUAUUUUGUUGUGCUAUGACUCUUUCUAGUAUUUUCGAAAAACUGGGUAAAAUAUGAAUUUGACGGUAAUUUACUGGUAGGGUUGGGUCCCCACUUUUAUAGAUAGGCAGUACCUUGACUGUUUUAAGUAAGUCAGGAAAUGUUCCCUCUAGUAAGCUGCUGUUUAUUAUUUCAGUUAUUGAACCAACGAUAUUAUGUGAGAUGCACUUGAUCAGAUUAAAACUUAUUUCAUAUA